UUGAAGCAUGAUCGCAAGGACAUGUGGAGCGCUUAGAAGUGAGAAUGCCGGUGUGAGUAGCGAAAGACGGGUGAGAAUCCCGUCCACCGAUUGACCAAGGUUUCCAGAGGAAGGCUCGUCCGCUCUGGGUUAGUCGGGUCCUAAGCUGAGGCCGACAGGCGUAGGCGAUGGAUAACAGGUUGAUAUUCCUGUACCACCAAUAAUCGUUUUAAGCGAUGGGGGGGACGCAGUAGGAUAGGCGAAGCGUACGAUUGGAUUGCACGUCCAAGCAGUGAGAUUGAGUGUUAGGCAAAUCCGGCACUCUUAAGAUUGAGCUGU
rnacentral:rRNA from 1 species